UACGUAGGGGGCUAGCGUUGUCCGGAAUCAUUGGGCGUAAAGCGCGUGUAGGCGGUUCGGUAAGUCCGCUGUGAAAGUCGGGGGCUCAACCCUCGGAAGCCGGUGGAUACUGUCGAGCUAGAGUACGGAAGAGGCGAGUGGAAUUCCUGGUGUAGCGGUGAAUUGCGCAGAUAUCAGGAGGAACACCAAUUGCGAAGGCAGCUCGCUGGGACGUUACUGACGCUGAGACGCGAAAGCGUGGGGAGCAAACAGG
rnacentral:rRNA from 1 species